rnacentral:rRNA from 1 species
GACAGAGGAUGCAAGCGUUAUCCGGAAUGAUUGGGCGUAAAGCGUCUGUAGGUGGCUUUUUAAGUCCGCCGUCAAAUCCCAGGGCUCAACCCUGGACAGGCGGUGGAAACUACCAAGCUGGAGUACGGUAGGGGCAGAGGGAAUUCCUGGUGUAGCGGUGAAAUGCGCAGAUAUCGGGAGGAACACCGGUGGCGAAGGCGGGUCUCUGGGCCGUAACUGACGCUGAGGAGCGAAAGCAUGGGGAGCGAACAGG